AAAUUGAAGAGUUUGAUCAUGGCUCAGAUUGAACGCUGGCGGCAGGCCUAACACAUGCAAGUCGAACGGUAACAGGAAGCAGCUUGCUGCUUUGCUGACGAGUGGCGGACGGGUGAGUAAUGUCUGGGAAACUGCCUGAUGGAGGGGGAUAACUACUGGAAACGGUGGCUAAUACCGCAUAACGUCGCAAGACCAAAGAGGGGGACCUUCGGGCCUCUUGCCAUCAGAUGUGCCCAGAUGGGAUUAGCUUGUUGGUGAGGUAACGGCUCACCAAGGCGACGAUCCCUAGCUGGUCUGAGAGGAUGACCAGCCACACUGGAACUGAGACACGGUCCAGACUCCUACGGGAGGCAGCAGUGGGGAAUAUUGCACAAUGGGCGCAAGCCUGAUGCAGCCAUGCCGCGUGUAUGAAGAAGGCCUUCGGGUUGUAAAGUACUUUCAGCGGGGAGGAAGGUGUUGCGGUUAAUAACCGCAGCAAUUGACGUUACCCGCAGAAGAAGCACCGGCUAACUCCGUGCCAGCAGCCGCGGUAAUACGGAGGGUGCAAGCGUUAAUCGGAAUUACUGGGCGUAAAGCGCACGCAGGCGGUCUGUCAAGUCGGAUGUGAAAUCCCCGGGCUCAACCGGAACUGCAUUCGAAACUGGCAGGCUUGAGUCUUGUAGAGGGGGGUAGAAUUCCAGGUGUAGCGGUGAAAUGCGUAGAGAUCUGGAGGAAUACCGGUGGCGAAGGCGGCCCCCUGGACAAAGACUGACGCUCAGGUGCGAAAGCGUGGGGAGCAAACAGGAUUAGAUACCCUGGUAGUCCACGCCGUAAACGAUGUCUACUUGGAGGUUGUGCCCUUGAGGCGUGGCUUCCGGAGCUAACGCGUUAAGUAGACCGCCUGGGGAGUACGGCCGCAAGGUUAAAACUCAAAUGAAUUGACGGGGGCCCGCACAAGCGGUGGAGCAUGUGGUUUAAUUCGAUGCAACGCGAAGAACCUUACCUGGUCUUGACAUCCACAGAACUUUCCAGAGAUGGAUUGGUGCCUUCGGGAACUGUGAGACAGGUGCUGCAUGGCUGUCGUCAGCUCGUGUUGUGAAAUGUUGGGUUAAGUCCCGCAACGAGCGCAACCCUUAUCCUUUGUUGCCAGCGGUUAGGCCGGGAACUCAAAGGAGACUGCCAGUGAUAAACUGGAGGAAGGUGGGGAUGACGUCAAGUCAUCAUGGCCCUUACGACCGGGCUACACACGUGCUACAAUGGCGCAUACAAAGAGAAGCGACCUCGCGAGAGCAAGCGGACCUCAUAAAGUGCGUCGUAGUCCGGAUUGGAGUCUGCAACUCGACUCCAUGAAGUCGGAAUCGCUAGUAAUCGUGGAUCAGAAUGCCACGGUGAAUACGUUCCCGGGCCUUGUACACACCGCCCGUCACACCAUGGGAGUGGGUUGCAAAAGAAGUAGGUAGCUUAACCUUCGGGAGGGCGCUUACCACUUUGUGAUUCAUGACUGGGGUGAAGUCGUAACAAGGUAACCGUAGGGGAACCUGCGGUUGGAUCACCUCCUUACCUUAAAGAAGC
rnacentral:rRNA from 1 species